AGUUUGAUUAUGGCUCAGAUUGAACGCUGGCCGGGAUGCUUUACACAUACCAAGUCGAACGGCAGCACGGACUUCGGUCUGGUGGCGAGUGGCGAACGGGUGAGUAAUGUAUCCGGAACGUGCCUAGUAGCGGGGGAUAACUACGCGAAAGCGUAGCUAAUACCCGCAUACGCCCUUCGAGGGGAAAGCGGGGACCUUCGGGCCUCGCACUAUUAGAGCGGCCGAUAUCGGAUUAGCCCUGGUGGUGGGGUAACGGCUCACCAAGGCGACGAUCCGUAGCUGGUUUGAGAGGACGACCAGCCACACUGGGACACGAGACACGGCCCAGACUCCUACGGGAGGCAGCAGUGGGGAAUUUUGGACAAUGGGGGAAACCCUGAUCCAGCCAUCCCGCGUGUGCGAUGAAGGCCUUCGGGUUGUAAAGCACUUUUGGCAGGAAAGAAACGGCACGGGAUAAUAAUACCCCGUGCAACUGACGGUACCUGCAGAAUAAGCACCGGCUAACUACGUGCCAGCAGCCGCGGUAAUACGUAGGGUGCAAGCGUUAAUCAGGUUACUGGGCGUAAAGCGUGCGCAGGCGGUUCCGGAAAGAAGAUGUGAAAUCCAGAGCUUAACUUUGGAACUGCAUUUUUAACUACCGAGCUAGAGUGUGUCAGAGGAGGGUGGAAUUCCGCGUGUAGCAGUGAAAUGCGUAGAUAUGCGGAGGAACACCGAUGGCAAGCAGCCUCCUGGGAUAACACUGACGCUCAUGCACAACGUGGGGAGCAAACAGGAUUAGAUACCCUGGUAGUCCACGCCUAAACGUCUCAACUAGCUGUUGGGGCCUUCGGGCCUUGGUAGCGCAGCUAACGCGUGAAGUUGACCGCCUGGGAAAUACAGUCGCAAGAUUAAAAACUCAAAGGAAUUGACGGGGACCCGCACAAGCGGUGGAUGAUGUGGAUUAAUUCGAUGCAACGCGAAAAACCUUACCUACCCUUGACGUAUCACGAUCCCGAAGAGAUUUGGGAGUGCUCGCAAGAGAACCGGAACACAGGUGCUGCAUGGCUGUCGUCAGCUCGUGUCGUGAGAUGUUGGGUUAAGUCCGCAACGAGCGCAACCCUUGUCAUUAGUUGCUACGAAAGGGCGCUCUAAUGAGACUGCCGGUGACAAACCGGAGGAAGGUGGGGAUGACGUCAAGUCCUCAUGGCCCUUAUGGGUAGGGCUUCACACGUCAUACAAUGGUCGGGACAGAGGGUCGCCAACCCGCGAGAGGCCAAUCCCAGAAACCCGAUGUUAGUCCGGAUCGCAGUCUGCAACUCGACUGCGUGAAGUCGGAAUCGCUAGUAAUCGCGGAUCAGCAUGUCGCAGUGAAAGUGAAUACACGUUCCCGGGUCUUGUACACACACCGCCCGUCACACCAUGGGAGUGGGUUUACCAAGUAGUUAGCCUAACCGUAAGGAGGGCGAUUACCACGGUAGGAUUCAUGACUGGGGUGAAGUCGUAACAAG
rnacentral:rRNA from 1 species